GCUUUGAUGUUUUCGGUAUUGCAAAGGAAAAGAAAGACCCAAAAGCUGUGAAAGGGCGCACUGAGAACUAUUAGAUGCAUUACCUAGCAAAAGGAAGUAUGAGGAUGAUGGUGAUGUAUCUGAGGACUCGAUUGACGAUGAAGAUGGACUUGAGUAUGACAAGAAUCUUAAUGCUUCUCCGUGGAAUCAAACUUCAUUCAUGUUUUUCAAAAAAUGGGAUAGAAAUGCUAUGCUCUUCUGCUGCUCAUAUUCAUGGUUUUGUUGAUUGGAGGCUUUUCGUCAGUUUCAGCUACUACUAC